rnacentral:rRNA from 1 species
GAUGAACGCUAGCGACAGGCUUAACACAUGCAAGUCGAGGGGCAGCAUAAAAGUAGCAAUACUUUGGUGGCGACCGGCGCACGGGUGAGUAACGCGUAUGCAACCUACCUAUCAGAGGGGAAUAACCCGGCGAAAGUCGGACUAAUACCGCAUAAAACAGGGGCACCGCAUGGUGAGAUUUGUUAAAGAGAUUCGCUGAUAGAUGGGCAUGCGUUCCAUUAGGUAGUUGGUGAGGUAACGGCUCACCAAGCCGACGAUGGAUAGGGGAACUGAGAGGUUGGUCCCCCACACUGGUACUGAGACACGGACCAGACUCCUACGGGAGGCAGCAGUGAGGAAUAUUGGUCAAUGGGCGAGAGCCUGAACCAGCCAAGUCGCGUGAAGGAAGAAGGAUCUAUGGUUCGUAAACUUCUUUUGCAGGGGAAUAAAGUGCAGGACGUGUCCUGUUUUGUAUGUACCCUGAGAAUAAGGAUCGGCUAACUCCGUGCCAGCCGCCGCAGUAA